rnacentral:lncRNA from 1 species
AGUAUGUCUUGCCUGCUGACGUUGCUCCCUCCCAUGCUGUGCUUGUGACAUCAGAUGUUCUGGGCCAGGAACUGGAUGAAGCAACAGAAUGCACCGGGAGGUUCGGUCACGGGUCCCAAGUCACACAGCAAGUAAUUAGCAGAGAAGAAAUUCGAACCCGUGAUGCUGACUCAGAAUCUGACUCGAGAACAUGCAGGUCCUUAAAAGUAAACCUGAAACUAUGUAAAAUUACAUACUACAUGGAAAUAAUUGUAUAAGGCUUGGGUGGUGGAAUUUUAAUUAUGGUGUUUUCCUUUCCUUUCCUUUUAUUUUCU